rnacentral:lncRNA from 1 species
UCGUCUCCAACCUCAUGGACGUUAUUGGCACCGGCACCAGUAAGCCUCACGGCAAGGCAUCAGCGGAGGCAGCUGACCCCGCUGCGGGCUCUGCAGACCCGGUUCAUGCCGCCCUUGCCGGCCUGAAGACGCCCAUCGCCACCACCGCAAACCCAGCUGAUGCUAGGGCCUCACUGGAGGAGGCCCGCUAGCAGAUCCUGGAAGAGGGCAUCGCUAUCGCCGCCGCCAAGCGUCAGAUGGAGGCCGCGCAGCGCGAGUAUAACUCCGCUUACGGCCUCACUCCGGCUGCUGAUGGCCCCAGUCGGCGCGGCGAGGUCCGCGGCCGCGGCCGGGUCAUAGCCGAAAUCUUGGAUGGCAGGCAGCCUAUCUAUAAAACUCCGGUGGCCAACAUGCGGGCUGCCCAGGCGGGUAUGGCGGAGAUGUCUGGUUUGGAGGGCGAGGAGCGUGCCCUUCAAGAGAAGCGGGUCCAGGAUCUCCUGGACGCCGCUAGCGAGCAGCAGGCUCAUUUCUACCCCGGCGUCGCGCAGUCGAUGUCUCCGGGAGCCCCAUUGGAGGCUCACCGCAACCCCAACGGCCGUCACCAUGCCGAAGGCUCCUCCAUGCACCGCACUUCUGGCCGGAAGGGCGAGGGCAGCCAAGACAGACGUUCCGCAGGGAGGCUGGUGAUGAGGAUGAUUCGGUGCAUGAGGUUCCCCCUCCGAGGCGGCGGGAACAGGCCAGGGCGGCCGGGUCCCAGGACACCACUCCGAUCUCAGCCCGGAUCGGUCCUCGCGUUCCCCGCAGCGACAACGAUGCUCGCAGGUGCCUCAACCUUCUGGCGUAGUCGACCCUCCUGAAGGAGGAGGGUCCCAUUGGUCCGGCAUGCUUCGUCCCCGGAUCCGAGGGGAGCCGUUCCCCAAAAGCUUCACUCUCCCUCGGGACACCCCCAAGUACAGCGGCACGGCCAAGCCAGAGGAUUGGCUGAUCGACUACACCACCGCAGUCGGCAUUGCUCGGGGCAACAAGCGCGUAGCAGUUCGCUACGUGCCUCUCAUGCUGACUGGCUCGGCCAGGACAUGGCUCAAUAGCCUGCCAGCCGGCAGCGUCAACUCUUGGGUUGACUUCGAGGAGGCGUUCGUCCGCAACUUCACCGACACCUACAAACGUCCUGGUCGGCCUCGUGAGCUGGCCAUGUGCGUCCAGAAGCUUGACGAACCCCUUCGCGACUACGUCACGCGUUGGACAGAGCUGCGCAACUCCUGCGAAGGAGUGCAUGAGGUACAAGCCAUUCAAUACUUCAUUGACGGCUGCCGAGACGGCACACUACUCAAGCACAAGCUCAUGUGCUCUGAGCCCACCUCUUUGGCGGUGCUCAUGGCCAAGGCGGACAAAUACGCUUCGGCCGACUCCGCCAUGUGGGUCAAGGUCACCGCCUCGGACAAAAUUGUCCCCACGCCGUCGACUCCCAAGCCGGCUAGCGACAACCGAGGCGGCCAGAACAACAAGCGCAAGGCGGAUCAACUUGGUUCGCGCUCUACAAGCAAGCAGGUGGCUAACGUGGAGGAAGAUGCGCCGGCUCCCAGCGGCAGCGGACCGGCAAGAACACCUGGCAGCCCAAGCUCCCCUUCGAGCAAAUGCUCGACGUGCCAUGCAAGAUGCACAUUGGGGCGAAGCCGGCCACCCAUACCCUUCGGCAGUGCAGCUUCGCACAACGACUGUCGCGAGGUGAGGGUCUGCCGGCUCCCCCGGCGGUUGCUGCUGCACCUUGUGCUCCGGCUCCAGGGCCGGCUCCGGCUCCACCACCGCCGCCUCAUAAUGAUGUCCGUCUCCAUGACGAGUACCCUGCGCAAGAUGGGGCUUACGUCGUCUUCACCAGCGAAGGCGACGACAAGCACAACCAGCGACAACCCAGGCGUGAGGUGAACGUCACGGUCCCCCGGUUCCCCAGUUCAUGCAUUGGUCUGAAAAGCCAAUUACGUGGAGCCGGGCUGACCAUCCUGCGGUGAUGCCAAACCCUGGCUCAUACGCGCUCGUCCUCGACCCCACCUUCGCCUACAAGACGCUCACUUGUCGGUUCUCCCGGGUGUUGGUCGACGGCGGCAGCAGCAUAAACAUCCUCUACCGCGACACCAUGCUCAAGCUCGGGUUGAAGGAGAAGGAUCUCCAACCGACCAACAAUGUCUUCCAUGGCAUCGUGCCAGGACAGUCCUGCUCGCCUAUAGGCAAAAUCUAGCUGAAUGUCCUCUUUGGCGACAAGGCGCAUUUCCGCGGUGAACCAAUUUGGUUCGAGGUGGUGGAUCUCAACAGCCUCUACCACGCGCUGCUGGGUAGACCGGCUUUGGCCAAGUUCAUGGCCAUCCCUCACUACGCCUACCUCAAGAUGAAAAUGCCGGGUCCCAAAGGCGUCAUCACCAUCGCUGGCGACUACAAGAAGUCGCUCGAGUGCGCACGCGACAACAACCGUCUGGCCGACGCCUUGGUGAUUGCUGAGGAGAAGAGGCAGAUUGACCGGCUCGUGGCUCAGGCUACCGAGCAGCCGACGAUCUCUACUCCACCAUCCCAGUUGGCCGGCGAGGGCUCAUUCGAGCCGGCCAUGGAAACUAAGCAGGUGCCACUCGACCCUGCGAACCCCAAGCAGUGCGUCACCAUUGGUGCUAAUCUCAGCGCCAAAUAGGAAGGCGAGCUCGUCGACUUCCUCCGUGAGAAUCUGGACAUCUUUGCAUGGUCUCCAAAGGACAUGCCAGGAGUUUCGAGGAAGUAUGCCGAGCACAAGCUUCAUGUGCGGCCGGAUGCCAAGCCGGUGAAACAACCCCUGCGCCGCUUCGCUGAGGGGAAACGACGCACAAUAGGAGAAGAAAUCGCCCGGCUGCUCGCAGCCGACUUCAUAAUAGAGGUUUUCCACCCGGACUGGUUGGCCAACCUAGUCGUGGUGCUGAAGAAGAACAAGACAUGGCGAAUGUGUAUUGAUUACACAAGCUUGAAUAAGGCGUGUUCGAAAGACCCUUUCGCUUUGCCCCGGAUAGAUCAAGUGAUCGACUCCACAGCCGGCUGCGAAUUGCUGUCCUUUCUAGACGCCUAUUCGGGCUAUCACCGGAUCAAGCUAGAUUCGGCUGACCGGCUGAAGUCCUCCUUCAUCACGCUCUUCGGGACCUACCGCUACACCACCAUGACGUUCGGUCUAAAGAACGCUGGUGCCACCUUUCAGCGCUGCAUGCAACAAUGCCUCUUGCCGCAGAUCGGAAGGAACAUCCACGUCUAUGUGGAUAACAUCGUCGUCAAGACCAAGCAACAUUUUAGUCUCCUUGAAGACUUGCGAGAGACAUUUGCCAAUCUGAGCGAAUACAAUAUCCGGCUCAACCCGGAGAAGUGCGUCUUUGGAGUUCCAGGCGGCAAACUCUUGGGUUUCUUCGUGUCCGCCCGUGGCAUUGAAGCAAACCCUGAGAAGAUCGGAACCAUCGAGCGGAUGGUGAAGCCGGCUCGAAUCCUCGACGUCCAGAAGUUCGCUGGCUGUCUGGCAUCCCUUAGCCGGUUCGUCAGCCGGCUGGGCGAGAAGGCGCUUCCACUCUACCAACUGAUGAAGAAGACGACCAAGUUCGAGUGGAACGACCAGGCGGACGAAGCCUUCCGCGACCUCAAGCGUGUCAUCUCGAGCCUGCCAAUCUUGGCGGCGCCGGCUGAAAGAGAGCCCAUCCUCAUCUACAUCGCGGCAACCACUCGCGUGGUCAAUGUGGUUCUGGUAGUGGAGCGCAAGGAGGAGGGCAAGGUACUGCUAGUGCAACGCCCUAUUUACUACCUCAGUGAGGUCUUGUCCGCCUCCAAACAAAACUACCCCCACUAUCAAAAGAUGUUGUAUGGUGUUUACUUUGUCGCCAAGAAGUUGAAGCAAUACUUCCAAGAGCAUGUCAUCAUUGUGGUGAGCACUGCUCCACUCUCAGAAAUCAUGGGCAACCGUGAUGCCACGGGCCGGAUUGCCAAGUAGUCCAUCUCCAUGGCCGACCACAAUUUCCGCUACGAGCCGCGCACCGCCAUCAAAUCUCAGGUGGUGGCCGACUUCCUCGUCGAUUGGGCUGAAACCCAAUUUCUGUCACCGCCUCCGGACUCCAGUCAUUGGCGGAUGCAUUUCGAUGGUUCGAACUGGUCUGGGAGCCGGCAUCGUCUUGACGUCUCCGAAAGGAGACCAACUCAAGUAUGCUCUCCAGAUACACUUCGCCGCCUCCAACAACGUCGCUGAGUACGAAGCGCUCGCUCACGGCCUCCGGCUUGCCAGAGAGAUCGGCAUCCGGCGGAUCCUUUGCUUCGGUGACUCGGACCUGGUGGUGCAGCAGGUCUCUGGCGAAUGGGACGCCAGUGACGCCAAUAUGGCGAGCUACCGCUUCGUCAUUCAGCAGCUCAGUGGUCCUUUCGAGGGCUGCGAGUUCCAUCACGUCCCCAGGGUGGACAACAAGGCGGCCGACACCUUGGCCAAAAUUGGCUCCACGAGGCAAGCAAUCCCAGCCGGCGUCUCCCUCGAGCAACUAUACAAGCCAUCCAUCAAGCCGUCUCCGGAGUCGGCAUCAAUCUUUGUGCCGGUAGACCCUUUCGUGCCAACAACAUCGGCUAUGCUAGCUCCGCCGGCUACAGCCACUGUGCCGGCUACGCUGGCUCUGCCGGCUACAACUGCUGCGCCGGCUCCAGCGGAGUUGCCGGCUACAACUGCUUCGACGGCUCCAACGGAGUUGCCGGCUACAACUGCUUCGCCGGCUACAACACUGGCCACGCCAAGCCUCGAAUCCUGUCGGCUCGACACCCAGUGGAUGGCCGUCAUGGAGGUAGACGGCGUGCCGGCUGCAGAAAAUCUCGAGCCUGUGACCACAUCAACAAGUGCGGCGGCUGCAGAAACUCCUGAUCUUCAGGUCGAGGCGGAGUCGGCUUCUGUGUCGGCUCCCUCGUGGGCUCAACCCAUCCUGGCCUUCCUUCUUCGCGGCGAGCUUCCCCAAGACGAGGCGGAGGCAAGGCAGAUCCACCGUCGAUCAUCGGCAUAUGCCAUCAUCAACCGCGAGCUGGUUCGGCGUAGCGUGACUGGCGUGUUCCAGCGCUGCGUUGAGUCAGAAAGGGGGCAGGAAAUCCUCAGAGACAUACAUCAAGGGGAGUGUGGGCAUCAUGCCGCCUCUAGAACCCUGGUGGCCAAGGCGUUUCGCCAUGGAUUUUACUGGCCCACGGCCGUUGAGGAGGCCGUAGACAUGGUCAACAAGUGCGAAGGCUGCCAGCGUUUCAGCACGCAGAGCCACAUGCCGGCUUCAGCCCUCAAAACCAUCCCCUUGUCAUGGUCGUUUGCCGUCUGGGGGUUGGAUAUGGUGGGGCCACUCAAGACUGCCCGAGGCGGAUGACGCUGUUAGGAAUAUGCAACUUGUAUUCCCAUGAGGCCAUAGGCCGAUAUAUAUACAUGUACAGGUGUGGAACAUAUGCAGGAAAUCCCUUAUACAACGGGAUAAAUACAAAGGGGUAUAUGACUUAUAUUAUAACUCUAACACCCCCCCCCCCUCAAACUCAUGGUGGAUGAAUAACACUGAGUUUGGAGAGAUAAACGCCAUGUUGUGCUCUGGGCCUUCGUCAGGAAAUCCGCCAACUGUAACUCGGAAGGCACAUACUGAAGAGCAAUAACCUGAUCCUGCACACCAGCACGCACAUAGAAAGCAUCAACACCAAUAUGCUUGGUGAGCUCAUGCUUCACAGGAUCACGCGCAAUGCUAAUAGCACCUGUACUGUUAGAUAAGAGCAGAGUCGGUGUAGUGACAGAAACACCAAAAUCCUGAAGUAACCACCGUAACCAAGUCACCUCUGCCGUCAAAAGAGCCAUCGCUCGCAACUCAGCCUCUGCACUCGAACGGGAAACUGCAAUCUGUUUCUUCGUCUUCCAGGCAAUGAGAGAACCACCAAGAAAAACACAGUAAGCAGAAAGUGAACGACGAUCUGAAGGAUCACUAGCCCACGUAGCAUCCGAAUAGGCUUGAAGCUGUAAAGACCUGGAGCGAGGAAAGAAUAGACGGUGAGAGAUCGUGCCCCGAAGAUAUCGGAGAACACGAAGGAGAUGACUAUAGUGAACCGAUGUGGAAGCGGAGACAAACUGACUCAGAAUAUGAACCGGAUAAGAGAUAUCCGGACGAGUGACAGCUAGAUAGACAAGACUGCCAACAAGAUGACGAUAACGCAUCGGGUUAGGCAGGGGAUCACCGUCAGUAGCACGAAGGUGAACAUUGAGCUCCAUAGGAGUUUCAACAAUGCGGUCGUCAGUAAGAGCAGCACGAGCAAGAAGAUCCUGGAUAUACUUUUCCUGGGAUAUAAAAAAGCCAGCAGAGGUAGAAGAGACUUCAAUCCCAAGAAAGUAGCGAAGAGGUCCAAGAUCAGACAUAAGAAACUGCUCACUAUGAUGGGCCUUUACAAAGGCAAUAUACUCGGGGUCAUCCCCAGUGAUGAUCAUGUCAUCAACAUAGAGAAGAAGAAGAGUCCGACCACGAGGAGAAAGGUGAAUAAACAAUGUUGGAUCAUGAGAACUCGCUGAAAAACCAGCGGCAGUCACCACGGAGGCAAAACGCUCAAACCAGGCGCAAGGGGCUUGCUUAAGGCCAUAGAGAGAGCGACGAAGACGACAUACCAUGCCAUCAGGAACAGAAUACCCAGGUGGUGGCUGCAUGUACACCUCCUCACACAGCUCACCAUUAAGAAAGGCAUUCUUAACAUCUAGCUGAGAUAUAGACCAGUGGCGUGCAGAGGCCACGGCAAGAAGUGUACGAACAGUGGUCAUAUGGGCCACAUGAGCAAAAGUCUCGUCAUAAUCACGACCAUGCUCCUGCUGAAAACCACGAGCCACAAGACGAGCUUUGUGACGCUCAAGAGAACCAUCGGAGCGAGUCUUAACCUUGUAAAUCCACUUACAAGUGAUGGGACGGACUCCGGGAGGAAGGGAAACAAGAUCCCACGUACUAGUGCGUUCAAGAGCAGCAAUCUCCUCUGCCAUCGCAAACUGCCAUUCAGGAUGAACAACAGCCUGACGAUAGGAAGUCGGCUCAAGAACAGCAGCACCAACGGUGGGAAAUCCAAGGCGAUCAAUAUGCGGACGAGGGCGAGAACGCAAUGCAUAGGGAGGCUCAGAUGAGGAUGACGACACAUCCGCAGAGGCAUCCACAUGACGUGAACGACGAGUGUAACACUGAGGAAAAGAUGGAACAAUGCAAGGGGGGAUCGCCAAGGUUGAAUCGGGGGGUGAAGACGUAGAAGUCACCGGAGAUGAAGGUGCAGAAUCACGUGACAUGCCAGGAGAGGAAACCGUGGGAGAUGGUGGUAGCAAAUCGACAAGAGGUGGAGAAGCAGAGGGAGCGGAACGAAUAGGCAAAGGUUCGAUGGGGGUGAGAGGUGUAUCAGGAAAAGUGAGGAAAGAGAUAUCCUUCACUGAAAAGGUCGAGGAAGAUGGGCGUGGGUAGAAGGGACGAGACUCGUCAAAAGUCACAUCCCGAGAGAUACGCAUCCGACGACCGAUAGGAUCCCAACAACGAUAGCCCUUAUGCUCAUCACUAUAGCCUAAGAAGACACACUCAACAGACUGAGCGGUCAGUUUGGUGCGUUCGCGAGGGGCAAGAAGAACAUAGCAAACACAACCAAACAGGCGAAGCAUCGAAUAAUCAGGAGAACGAUCAAAAAGACACUCAAAAGGAACACCACCCUGUAGAGCAGCAGAAGAUUGUAGAUUGAUGAGAUAGGUGGAGGUGGAGACGGCCUUAGCCCAGAAAUGAGGCGGGAGAGAGGCAGCAAUCAUCAUCGCACGAGCCGUCUCAAGAAGAUGACGAUGCUUGCGCUCAGCCACACCAUUCUGAGCAUGAGCACCAGGACAAGAGAACUGAGCAAGUGUACCCUGCUCAGCGAGAAAUCCACGCAACAUCUUGGAGAUAUACUCUCCAGCAGAGUCAGCACGGAACACACGAAUAGGUGUAGAGAACUGAGUGUGAACCAUGGCAGCAAAACUCUUAUAUAUAGAUAAUACCUCACUACGAGAAGACAUAAAAUAGAUCCACGUGUAUCGAGAGAAAUCAUCUAUAAAGAUAAUAUAGUAGCGAUGGCCUCCCUUCGAGGAAAAGGGAGCUGGACCCCAAACAUCCGAGUGAACAAGGUCAAAAGGACGCUGAGACACAGUCUCGCUAUGAGGAUAAGGUGUGUCUUUAGACUGUCAGGGCGCCAGGGGCCAGCACCAAGAAGAGCACCAGUGUGAUGGUCCAGAACCGAACACGAGUCAAAGUCAAGAAUGACCCGACAAGCAGAGUCAACAAUCUGGCCACCAGAAAGGAGCUGCAUGGUAAGCCGAGGAACAUGAGCAACAUCGGGAACAUGAAAAGAUGAAGUGCUAAGAGUGCCUUGGCCAGUAACCGGGAGAGAAGUACCAUCAGCAGUAAGAACAUGAACAGGAGAAUCAAGAGGUCGAGUAGAUGACAGAGUGGAUGAAUCAUGGGUCAUAUGAAAAGAUGCUCCAGUAUCAAGAACCCACGUAGAUGUACCUACGUGUGUAGAAGGUGGUCUCUCAAUGCCAGAAGAGUCCGUAGCAGAACCAACAGAACCUGUCGAUGAAGAAACAAAAGAUGGAGCUAGCAGACAUCGAAAUCGUCCAAUCUCCUGCUCAGUCAGGGGCGCAACUGAAGAUGUCGAUGUAGACACACCCGACAACAGAGAGUCGAAGGCAAGCAGCAGGGCGCGAAGUCGCGCAAUCUCGUCCUCGGUGAAGUACACAGCUGAAGUAGGCGGCGUAAUGGCACAAGGAGAGAAGCGACCACCACCACCUGUGGAAGCCGCUAAAUAUGGCGGUGUAGCAUGUCCAGUAUCGUCUGCAAAGACCGGUGUAGAAGACGAGGCCGUGUGCAGGCAAGCACCAAGCACCAAGGGAAGACGCGUGGACGAAGAGCAGUCCAUGGAGGCAUAGGCACCAGGACAACCAGUGAAAGUCGCGAGAGGUGUCGGGAAAGAGCGUCAUGCACCGAUGAAAGUCGCGAGAGGAGUCGGUGUAGAGCGACAAUCACCAUAUGUAGAGCUCGCAGGAGCAACAGAAGAACUACCAGCACAGCCGUCAGGAGUCACGGGAAGCAAGGGACUGCAACGUUGCGUGCUGGUAUAGACCAUUUUUUUGUUGGAAUCGUAGUCAAUGAAUAGCGUCCGCGUCUGAAACCGCGUCUGCGUCGACAGCGGGAUUGGAGGCGCCUCGAUCUGGCGAGAUGGGGUGGGAUGGGGCGGCGCCUCGACCUGGAUCAGGAGCCGCGUUGACCUGGAGCCGCCGCGAGCCGGAUCCCACGAGCAGGGCGCUGGAUCCCUCGUGGAUCGAUCUAGAAGCUGAGCCGGCGAGCAGAUCAGGACGAGCAGGGAUGAGUGGCUCGAUCUGAAGCAGAUCCACGAGCGGCAGCUGGAUCCCACGAGCAGGGACGCUGGAUCCCACGAGCAGCUUCAGGAGCAGGGACAAGUGGCUUGGUCUGAAGCAGAUCCACGAACGGCAGCAGGAUUCCACGAGCAGCUCGAUCUGGAGGCUGAGCGGGCGAGCAGAUCGGGACGAGCAGGGACGUUGGAUCCCGAGUGGCUCGAUCUGUAGGCUGAGCGGGUCGAGCAGAUCGGGAGCGGGUCGAGCAGAUCGCGCGAGACACACCAGGCCGACGAGCAGAUCGGACGGGACGAGCAACUUCGAGCGGGAGAGGAGAGGCUGUGAGCGGAACGGGGCAGGAGGAGGAGAUCGAGAACAUGCUUCGAUCGGGGAGAGGAGACGGAUCAAUCGCACGAAUUGCAACGUGCAAAAAAUUGACCUAGCUCUAAUACCAUGUUAGGAAUAUGCAACUUGUAUUCCCAUGAGGCCAUAUGCCGAUAUAUAUACAUGUACAGGUGUGGAACAUAUGCAGGAAACCCCUUAUACAACGGGAUAAAUACAAAGGGGUACAUGACUUAUAUUAUAACUCUAACAGACGCGUCCCCCACAACAUCAUCACCGACAACGACAUCAAUUUUGCCAAGGGUGCAUUGGCGCUCUUCUGUGCCAAUGAGGGCAUCCGGCUCGACUUGGCGUCGGUGGCGCACCCGCAAUCCAACGGCCAGGUGGAAAGGGCAAAUGGCCUGAUCCUGGCCGGUAUCAAGUCAAGACUGGUGGCGCCACUUGUCAGGUCAGCCGGCUGCUGGAUCGAAGAGCUGCCGGCUGUGUUGUGGAGCCUCCGCACCACGCCGAACCGGUCAACUGGCUUCACACCAUUCUUUCUGGUUUAUGGGCCCGAGGCAAUCAUCCCCACGGAUGUUGAGUUCGACUCUCCUCGGGUCACCCUAUACACGGAGACGGAAGCGAAGUAGGCAAGAGAAGACGGCGUCGAUCUACUCGAAGAGGCACGGGAGCUAGCUUUGAGCCGGACGACUAUAUAUCAACAGAAGCUAAGGUCCUACCACAACAAGAAGAUCAAACCCCUCUCUUUCAGAGAGGGGGACUUGGUGCCCAGAAGAAUCCAGCGAACAACCGGCCAGCACAAGCUCUCCUCCCCGUGGGAAGGACCUUUCAUCAUCAGCAGGGCGUUGCAUAAUAAUGCAUACUAUCUGAUAGACGCCCAGAAGCCAAGGAAGCGCAAGAGAGAUGACUCCGGCCAGGAAACGGAGCGUCCAUGGAACGCGGCUUUGCUUCGCUCGUUCUAUUGCUAGAAUGCAAGAGAAAAAAGUAUGUACGUAUGUAUCUUCUUCCCUUUUCGGGACUUUUAAUGAAUGCAAUUGUUUCAAGCCGGUGCUUGAGGCACACCUCUUUCAGAUUCAUGGCAGGAGUUAGUUACUCAUUUGUGAGUUCCCCGGUCUGGCUCCACGGGCUCGGGGGCUCGCUAGCCGGCCCGAACAACUUCCUUAGUUGUAGGCGAACGUAUAGUGUAUGCCAGGUCGAACCCUUGCCGCCUCGCACAAGCUACAGUCCGGCUAACGAGACCGUGGUAGGGAAGGCAUGCUACACGAAAAGUUCGACUACAAAGAAGGUUGCCGCCUCGGGUCGGUUUGAUCGCUUUUGAUCUUACUUCCUAGCCGGCCUCUGCUGGCUCGCUUUUGAGUCUAAGAGUCUUGAUGGCUUCGAAAAAUCUAGGUCCAAUGUUUUUAAAGGCAGAAGCCUCGUCCCAGCCACAGACCGGCUCCCGGCUGUCGGGAUGGCGGGGCAGAUGCUAGAAAAAACAAAGGAGCUGGAUGAAAAGGAGCCAAAAGGGAAUCAAAAGAUAAAAAUGCGAGUCAGCAAGCACAACGCUUACAAAUAGAAUGCAGAAUAAGAUAGCAUAUAUCACAUUCAAAGAAUUCAAAGGCCCACGGCCGAAGUUCAUUACAAUAAAAACAUCCCCAGUGGGUGGAACUGUUGGACUGAUAACAAAAUGCAGAGAAAAAACGAAAAGGGCAAGCUAGUGGGUGGCGGCUCCGUCUGUGGCCCCAGCAGCAGCUCCUGAAGUGGUGGCUUCACCAUCGCCGGCUGCGCCGGAGGUAGAAGCGCCGUCUCUGCCUCAAGCACCUCCGGCACCGUCCUUCAUGGUCAAGUCCGCGUAGGCCUUGCUGCUGGAGUCGGCGGCUUCCUCCUCAAAGGCUGCCUCGGCAGAGCUGCCUUCGGCGUCGUAGGGCUGCAGAUGGAACAGGUCCUCAGGGACCACGUUGCCGUUUGCGUCGCGCUCCAAGCCAAACUCGUCCCAGGCGGCGAAGGCGGCGAUGCUGCUGGCUCUCACUCGUAGCUGGUCCUCCAGGGCCACAAGCUCCCCCUCCGAGCCGGCGCGCUGUGCUGCGAGCUUGCCCAAGUCCAGGUUUCGGUACCAGGACUUGGCCAGGCGGAGUGCCAUGUAUCCUCCAACGCGUGCGGCUGAUGCGCGCCAGGCGUCGAGGCGAGAGCUGCCGGCCUCAAGCCAGCGGGAUAGCCGGCUCAUGGACGCCGGCUCCACCGCAUCAGGUCACAGCGCCCUCACCAUCUCCAACCCUGCGCUCUGGAGCCACUCCAGAGAACGCGCCAACUCGCGCAGACGGGCCUUGGCGCCAGUAGCUAUCUUCUCCACGGACCAGCCGGCGUCGGUGUCCACUUCUUCGCCAGCAGCGCGACGCUCUUCACGGCUGGUCUCCACAGCCGCUUCUGCUGCCUCCCGUGUCCCGGGGAAGAACCCCGGGGAUGGGGGUGUGAUAUGAAGGGGAAGGAGGGGAAUGCCAGCAAAAAUGAAUAUCAAAUCAAGACGAAGAAGACUCAUGGUUGAAGUGGAUGUCGGUUUCACGGGCCUCCUCUAGGGCCUCGCGAUCCCGUGUCGCGCUCUCUUGAGCCAGGCGGGUGAGCUCGCCCUGGAGGGCCUGGGCCGCCUCGGUCUCCUUCGCCAGAUGAGCCUGCACCUGGGUCAAGAUGGCGUCCUUCUCCUUCAGGGCGGCGUCCUUACGCUUCGCCUCCUCGAGAUGGACCUUCUCCAGGCGCUCCAGAUAUGCGGUGUGGGAGGAGUCCUUCUCCUGCAUUGCGGCGCGCAGCUGCUCCAACUCUGCUUGGUGAGCCGCCUCGCGGUCCUUCUUCUCCGUCUGAAGAAGAUCCAGCUGCAGGUGGAGCUGCUUGUCCGCCUCGCGCAGGGCAUCUCGCUCCGAGACGGUCGCGUCCAGCCGCUUUGAAGAUCGCCGGUUCGGCCUUCGACCCCCUGGACCCGGGCCAGCAGUGCGUUGUACGCCUGCACCUGGGCGUCGUGGAGUUCCUACGAACAAUGCAAACAAAGCAAAGAAUGCGAUUCGGCCCGGCUAACUCUCAGCCGGCCCGAUUCUCGGGGGCUACACCCAGUGGGUGCGUCAGAUUCGGCCCGGCUAAUUCUCAGCCGGCCCAAUUCUCGGGGGCUACACCCAGCGGGUGCGCUGGCGCGCCCCCACUGACGCAAGAACAAGGAGAAAAAACCCAGUCGAAGCAAAUAAAAGGCAAAGGCUUGAAAGCUUAUUGCGGUUCGUCCCUCGAGGCGAUCCAAGUCGCAUUUGGCCAUCAGGGCCGCAUGCGACACCUUCUCACGGCUGCGGGAGAAUUCCGCCACCAGCACCGGAAUGCCGCUGAGCUCGGUGCCUGGGGGCAGGGCCGCACGUUCGGCGUUGGCCACACGCCAGGUCUUCAUGGGCCGGCUCUCGAAGUUGGGGCCGGCUCCAGGAGCGGACGGGCCGCGAUUGGCCACGACUAUGAUGCCGUCUCCAGGCGGUGGGCUUGCGGCCGGCUCCCUUGACGCUUCAGCCGCGCCGUCUCCGUAGCCGGAGGUGGAUUUGCCAUCUCCGGCUCCUCCAUCGUCGCCUCCGGCGCCUCCAUUGUCAUCUCCGGCGCGCCGUCUACAUCAGCUUCGGGCGCGUCGGGGAUCACAUCGAGAUCCGCUGGCGUGGAGGGUGCCGGCUCGGCGGGGUCGGGUUUCACGCCCCCCCUGCCGGGGGNNNNNNNNNNNNNNNNNNNNNNNNNNNNNNNNNNNNNNNNNNNNNNNNNNNNNNNNNNNNNNNNNNNNNNNNNNNNNNNNNNNNNNNNNNNNNNNNNNNNNNNNNNNNNNNNNNNNNNNNNNNNNNNNNNNNNNNNNNNNNNNNNNNNNNNNNNNNNNNNNNNNNNNNNNNNNNNNNNNNNNNNNNNNNNNNNNNNNNNNNNNNNNNNNNNNNNNNNNNNNNNNNNNNNNNNNNNNNNNNNNNCCAAUAAGGAAAUGACCUUCAUGCAAGAAUCCAAAAAGGGGGGAAUGACGAUCCCUUACCCGGUGACGACGGGCACUGGCCUCCUGCCGGCCGCCGCCGCCUCGGCCUCCGGCUGGAGGUCCUGUUGCAGCACGCUUGGGGGCCGGCUUGGCAGCGACGACUCCCUUGCCCUUCUGCCGUGCCGCCUCGCCCUGCGCUACCAUCUCGCCGGCAUUUCGACGAGCUCGAGUCAAGGGAGGGGCUGGAGACCUCCUCCAGGUCUUCUUGAUCCUCUCCGAAGGCUGCAUCGUGCAGGGGAGGUGGCGUUUCGUCAUCAUCCAUCCAAUCAAGAAGAGUAGACUUAAGAUGCUCACCAGGUGGCUGGGAGCCCUCCGACUCCAUUGUGUCCUCCACAUCCGUAGAGGCAGAGACCCUCGGCUCCACCACCCCUUCAUCCUCAAUCUCAGCCGGGUCCGACGCCUCCACGUCUGCAGCCGGCUGCUGAUAGUUUUGCAGACGCUCGAAUAGCUGGAGGACGGAGUCGGCAUCCGGCUCAGAAAAUAAAAGGAGCAUUCAAGAUAUAAAAAGAGGAUCGGGGGAGACGCUUACCACCGGAGCCGGAUGGCUUUGAUUCUAGGGGGCCAUGCCCCAUUCCCACUCUCCGCCCUCGUCCAUGUUGGCGGAGGAGAUCAGGUUCACGUUCCGGGCCACCGCGCCGGCUCAAAAGUUUUUGGUGGAGAGCCGGCAAGGGUCGUGCCGUCCGCCCAUCUGGCAUAUCAGAUGCGGCCGCCGCUGCAGAGGCAGGACCUGGCGUGAUACCAUGGUGGCGAGCAGGUCGCGGGCCAAAAGGCUCCGAAUCUUCAAGUUAUCGAGGUGUGCGCAUAUUUGCGCCACCUCGUUGAUUGGCUUUGGAAGCGUCGCCUUCCAGUUCAGCUUCGCCGUCGGCGGAGCGAUGGCAAACGGGGGCAGGUUGAUGUAGUCGCGGGAGGGCUCGACGUUCUUCACAUAGAAAAACCCCUUCUGCCACAUCUUGACGGAAUCCUGCAGCGGUAGCUGUGGGAAACCGGACGUUGUACGGUGAUGCACCAGCGCGGCGCCGCAAGGGGUCAUCGGCUUGGGGCCCGAAGGCCCGACUGCUCUGCUGCAGCGGACUUGUCCGUCGUCAUGGACUGCUGCUUGAAGAAGAACAGCUUCCGCCAGAGGUCCAAGCAGGGUUCAAUCCCUAUGAACCCCUCGCACAGGACGACGAAGGCGGCAAGCUGGAGGAUGGCGUUGGGCGCCAGGUGAUGCGGCUGCAAGCCGAAGAAAGUAAGGAAGCGGGCGAAGAAGUCGCUCGCCGGAAGACCGAAGCCACGGUAGAAGUGUUCAAAGAACACUACCACCUCGCCCUUUUCGGGGGUCGGGGCUGCUUCGGCGCAGGGCACCCGCGCCGCCACAAGGUUCGCUGGAGGCGGCACGCGGCGGUGGCGAAGCGCCUCGAUGUGCUCAAUGCUGACAUCGCUGCCCACCCAAGCGCCUCGGAACUGCCCCUUCCUGUAGGCGCCGCUGGACAUGGUGGGUGGCGGCGAGGGCUGAGACGGUCCUGGCGGCGGCCGGCGGGGAUGGCUCGAGCGGCGGCGAAGGCGAAGCAGUGCUCUUCUUUCUCUGGCUCAGGGAAGGAAGGUGCGUUGAUGCGGGGCAAGAAGGGGGCGAAUGGCCUCCUCGACGCCCCCGCAUCCCAUUUAAACCCCCACGAGAGAUCGUGGGGUGGGGAUUCGGUGCGCAUGACUCCCACCUCCUCCGAUUAUUACGGGGGCAUUUACGCCUCACGGAGCCUAACCGUCGCAGAAGCAAUCCACAGAGGAUCCGCGCGCGCGAGGGCCGAGGAGGCGUCGUGGCGGGACCCAGGGCGAAGGCCCCGUCCCGUCACCUGUACAGUUAAUCAUAGCGUCGGGCCCCGGGCCUGGCACGUGGCGUAACAACGCUGCUUGCGCCGAAGCCGAGGCGUCUGUUGGAAGCCAGCCGGCUUCCGACCCGGCGCCUCCUAGGACAGGCGAUCUAUGAAGAGCAUCAGCAAGGAACUCAAGCCGGCGAGGCCUCCCGCUUUGAGGCGGCGGACCUCCCCUGCUUCGAGGACUACUGACGGGGGGGUAACCCCGGGGUAGGCUCAUCGAGCCUACUCCUUUGCAUCCAAGAGUGAAGGGAAGCAUCAACUUCUUCUAGAUGCUCAACUCUUCUUGUCCGUCUAGAAAGCUCCUGCCGGCUAGGAGUGAGAUGGCAAUCCUACCUGGCCGGCUGGAGAGCUCCCGCCGACUAGGGACGAGACGGCAAUCCGUCCUGGCCGGCUGGGAGGCGCCUGCCGUCUAGGAGCGAGACGACAAUCCCUCCUGGCCGGCUGGGAGGCGCCUGCCGUCUAGGAGCGAGACGGCAACUUCAAGGCCGGCUAGCGAGGCCGCUAGCCGGCUAGGCAGCCCUAGUCACAUCCAACCCUAGGCUGGGACUAGGCUCUACGAAUAAAGGUGGAUACACGUCAGCACAAGUACAAGAUUGGAGCACAUGGCUGAUAUAGUGUCAGCGGCAUGGCCGCCGACCUAGGCCGACUCCGAUCCGUCAAACCAACACAGUAUAGGUGCAUCAGCACCCACUCCAUUACCAAGCUUGGCGUGGUAACAGUGGAGACGACUGUACUAACGACCCAUGACGAAUCUCGCAAGACGACGCCGGACGUACCACGUGUCUUGCGUCGGCCUUACGCGAGAACUCCAUUGGCUGGCCGGCGGGUCCCAUGGCCAGAUGGGACCUUGCAGCCGGCGGGCCCCUCCAACGACAAGACCAGACUACUGUGGGUCCCCUGGCCAGCCGGCGAGGCUUCCAGGCGGACCCCUCCUUUGUACUUUUAUCCAUAUUGUAGGUCAGUGGGUUCAUCUAUAAAACCCCCCGAUCCCCCUCCAUGCAGAGGGUCGGUGAACUGCUCACACACACCCAUACAUGAGAGGUAGACGCGAGCCGGCAGCUCCUUCCUCCUCCUCCGUCGAACAGCUCAAGGAGCACACUGUAAUCCCUUUGGUGCAUCAACCAUUCCGGCAGGACUAAGGGUGUUAUCUCUACGGAGAGCCCUAAACCUGGGUACAUCGUGCGUCUCUCUCGCUUGUACCAAUCCCGUUCCUGGAGCCCGCCGGUGUCAUUUCGGUUCCCACCACUCAUGUUUAGCCUACCCAUGGCUGAUGUCGUGAGUAAACACCAACAUGUAUUGUAUACAUGUGAUAUCAAAUAAUGUACUGACGUCGAAGUGUCAUGUAUGCAUUAUUAGUGAAUCAAAUGGUGAUUCAGACACAUGAGAAUAAAUUUUCAAUGUCAUAAGAAAACCGUGAGUUACAAUCUAGAGCACAUUUAUGUACACGACACUUACAUAGUUCUCGCAAUACAAAACAAUAAAAUGAGCAUGUUCCAUUAGUUGAUAUUCUGCAGAUGCAUAUGUACAUUUUGGCAAUCACUAAAAGUUCUUCCUGAAGUAUAGUCGGCAGCUUGCAAGCUUGAAUGAUAGAC